rnacentral:lncRNA from 1 species
CAAUUAUGAUUCUUUCUCAUAUUAGCUAAUUACUACAUGUGAUUGGAAGAAUGAUUCUUCAAAAGAGCAAGCCUACCGAUUAAGUUGUUGAAAAAAGACAUCUAAUAGGGUUGGAUGCCUGAGUGUCAGGCCUCAUUCGAUGGUCUGAAGCAAGCCAUGAUUGAGGGUCAGUUCUUAGGACGUUGAUGUGAAAAAACCCUUUGAAGUUGACAAAAGUUGUCAGUGUUCUCUUGCACAAUGGACACCCAAUCACAUAAAAAAGCUGAAAACUGAAUGCACGGUGGUCCAUUGCCUGAGGGUUUGGAUACAGUAUUUAAUGAGCUCUACAUUUGUUGUGAAGACAGGUAACAAUACUACUUGUCACUUCUUUAGUUAGAAAAAAUUGACUUCGAAGCAAGCAAGAUGGCGAAAAUUUCUAGUUGAGUUUGAUUUUCAGUUUGAACAUAAUAAGGGAUUGAGCAAUCGAGCAGCUGAUGCCCUAAGCCAAAAAAAAAAAGAACAUGUGGUCGUGUGCAUGUUAGCUCACCUUUAGACAAGUAAGAUCGAUGGUGCAAUGUGUGACAUCUCGAGAGAAUUCUCGGAGAAGGAAUUUAGCUAAGGUCGGAAAGACAAGAUAGUUUUGGGUUGAAGAUGACUUAUUAGUGAUAAGAGAAAAUCGUCUAUAUGUCUCUAGAGCAAGGGACCUAAGGAAGAAAUUACUACACAAUUGUCACGACACUCUGUGGGCUGGCUGACCGCGUGGGUGGACUUAAUGUUUUCGUACAUGUGAAUUACUAUAGCAAUACUUCACUAAGUAAGGUCAUCG